rnacentral:rRNA from 1 species
UACGUAGGGUGCGAGCGUUAAUCGGAAUGACUGGGCGUAAAGGGUGCGUAGGCGGGUCUUUAAGUCAGGGGUGAAAUCCUGGAGCUCAACUCCAGAACUGCCUUUGAUACUGAGGAUCUUGAGUUCGGGAGAGGUGAGUGGAACUGCGAGUGUAGAGGUGAAAUUCGUAGAUAUUCGCAAGAACACCAGUGGCGAAGGCGGCUCACUGGCCCGAUACUGACGCUGAGGCACGAAAGCGUGGGGAGCAAACAGG